ACGAACGCUGGCGGCGUGCCUAACACAUGCAAGUCGAACGGAAAGGCCCUGCUUUUGUGGGCUGCCCGAGUGGCGAACGGGAGAGUAACACGUGAGUAACCUGCCCUUGACUUUGGGAUAACUUCAGGAAACUGGGGCUAAUACCGGAUAGGAGCUCCUGCUGCCUGGUGGGGGUUGGAAAGUUUCGGCGGUUGGGGAUGGACUGGCGGCUUAUCAGCUUGUUGGUGGGGUAGUGGCUUACCAAGGCUUUGACGGGUAGCCGGCCUGAGAGGGUGACCGGCCACAUUGGGGCUGAGGUGCGGCCCAGACUACUACGGGGGGCAGCAGUGGGGAAUAUUGCACAAUGGGCGGAAGCCGGAUGCAGCAGCGCCGCGUGCGGGAUGAAGGCCUUCGGGUUGUAGACCGCUUUCGCCUGUGACGAAGCGUGAGUGACGGUAAUGGGUAAAGAAGCACCGGCUAACUACGUG
rnacentral:rRNA from 1 species